UCCUCAGUAGCUCAGUGGUAGAGCGUUCGGCUGUUAACCGAUUGGUCGUUGGUUCAAGUCCAACCUGGGGAG
rnacentral:tRNA from 1 species